UACGUAGGGUCCGAGCGUUGUCCGGAGUACUGGGCGUAAAGCGCGCGCAGGCGGCGGUGCUGGCCCGGCGUGAAAGCCCCCCGGCUCAACCCGGGGGAGGGUCGUCGGGGACCGCACCGCUUGAGGGCGGUAGGGGCUGGUGGAAUGCCUGGGUGUAGUGGUGAAAUGCGUAGAGAUCAGGCGGAACACCCGUGGCGAAGGCGGCCAGCUGGGCCGUCCCUGACGCUGAGGAG
rnacentral:rRNA from 1 species